AACGCUGGCGGCGUGCCUAAUACAUGCAAGUCGAGCGAGCAGAACCAGCAGAUUUACUUCGGUAAUGACGCUGGGGACGCGAGCGGCGGAUGGGUGAGUAACACGUGGGGAACCUGCCCCAUAGUCUGGGAUACCACUUGGAAACAGGUGCUAAUACCGGAUAAGAAAGCAGAUCGCAUGAUCAGCUUAUAAAAGGCGGCGUAAGCUGUCGCUAUGGGAUGGCCCCGCGGUGCAUUAGCUAGUUGGUAAGGUAACGGCUUACCAAGGCAAUGAUGCAUAGCCGAGUUGAGAGACUGAUCGGCCACAUUGGGACUGAGACACGGCCCAAACUCCUACGGGAGGCAGCAGUAGGGAAUCUUCCACAAUGGACGCAAGUCUGAUGGAGCAACGCCGCGUGAGUGAAGAAGGUUUUCGGAUCGUAAAGCUCUGUUGGUGUUGAAGAAGGAUAAAGGUAGUAACUGGCCCUUUAUUUGCCGGUAAUCAACCAGAAAGUCACGGCUAACUA
rnacentral:rRNA from 1 species